AGAAAAGAAGCAGGGAGAUUAAAUUCUUGUCGAUUUCGCGGUCAAGUCUUGGGAGGAUAAGAUCUUAGGCGCGGUUACACGCAGCCACCGGUAACGGAUAAGGAUCACGCGAUACUUAGAAACAAGGCUUUCAGCCUUGUUUUUUUUU
rnacentral:sRNA from 1 species